GCCGGGCUCGCUGACCGACGAAGAGUUCAAGGUGAUGAGAACCCAUCCGGAACAUGGCUAC
rnacentral:tRNA from 1 species